rnacentral:rRNA from 1 species
UACGUAGGCAGCGAGCGUUGUUCGGAGUUACUGGGCGUAAAGGGUGUGUAGGCGGCCUAUUAAGUUUGGUGUGAAAUCUCCCGCUCAACCGGGAGGGUGCGCCGAAAACUGGGAGGCUAGAGUGCGGGAUGGGGAGAGUGGAAUUCCGGGUGUAGCGGUGGAAUGCGUAGAGAUCCGGAGGAACACCGACGGCGUAGGCAGCGCCCGUGGACGACACCCUGACGCUGAGGCACGAAAGCUGGGGGAGCGAACAGG